rnacentral:rRNA from 1 species
GUGGGGAAUAUUGGACAAUGGGCGAAAGCCUGAUCCAGCCAUGCCGCGUGUGUGAAGAAGGUCUUCGGAUUGUAAAGCACUUUAAGCUGGGAGGAAGGGCAGUAAGUUAAUACCUUGCUGUUUUGACGUUACCGACAGAAUAAGCACCGGCUAACUUCGUGCCAGCAGCCGCGGUAAUACGAAGGGUGCAAGCGUUAAUCGGAAUUACUGGGCGUAAAGCGCGCGUAGGUGGUUUUGUAAGUUGGAGGUGAAAUCCCCGGGCUCAACCUGGGAAGUGCCGCCAGAACUGCAUGAUUAGAGUACGGUAGAGGGUAGUGGAAUUUCCUGUGUAGCGGUGAAAUGCGUAGAUAUAGGAAGGAACACCAGUGGCGGAGGCGACUACCUGGACUGAUACUGACACUGAGGUGCGAAAGCGUGGGGAGCAAACAGGAUUAGAUACCCGUGUAGUCC